GAAAUGCGAUAAGUAAUGCGAAUUGCAGAAUCCGUGAGUCAUCGAAUCUUUGAACGCAUAUUGCGCCCUUUGGUAUUCCGAAGGGCAUGCCUGUUCGAGCGUCAUUAUCACCCCUCAAGCCUGGCUUGUUGUUGGGCGUCGGUCCCUCCACCGGACCCGCCCCAAAGAUAAUGACGGCGUCUGUGAGGACACCAGUACACUGAGCUUUCGAGCACGUACUCGGUUUUGAAGGACUCCAGGCCCGGUCUUACUUAGUCUCCUCCUCUCGUUAGGGGGGACACUUUUCAAGGUUGACCUCGGAUCAGGUAGGAAUACCCGCUGAACUUAA
rnacentral:misc_RNA from 1 species